rnacentral:rRNA from 1 species
GAUGAACGCUGGCGGCGUGCCUAAUACAUGCCAGUCGAGCGAACGGACGAGAAGCUUGCUUCUCUGAUGUUAGCGGCGGACGGGUGAGUAACACGUGGAUAACCUACCUAUAAGACUGGGAUAACUUCGGGAAACCGGAGCUAAUACCGGAUAAUAUUUUGAACCGCAUGGUUCAAAAGUGAAAGACGGUCUUGCUGUCACUUAUAGAUGGAUCCGCGCUGCAUUAGCUAGUUGGUAAGGUAACGGCUUACCAAGGCAACGAUGCAUAGCCGACCUGAGAGGGUGAUCGGCCACACUGGAACUGAGACACGGUCCAGACUCCUACGGGAGGCAGCAGUAGGGAAUCUUCCGCAAUGGGCGAAAGCCUGACGGAGCAACGCCGCGUGAGUGAUGAAGGUCUUCGGAUCGUAAAACGCUGUUAUGAGGGAAGAACAUAUGUGUAAGUAACUGUGCACAUCUUGACGGUACCUAAUCAGAAAGCCACGGCUAACUACUU